rnacentral:misc_RNA from 1 species
AGGAGAGGCGAAGGAGCGUGA